CCUACGGGUGGCAGCAGUGGGGAAUAUUGGACAAUGGGGGCAACCCUGAUCCAGCCAUGCCGCGUGUGUGAAGAAGGCCCUCGGGUUGUAAAGCACUUUCAGUGAGGAAGAACGCCUGGUGGUUAAUACCCAUCAGGAAAGACAUCACUCACAGAAGAAGCACCGGCUAACUCCGUGCCAGCAGCCGCGGUAAUACGGAGGGUGCGAGCGUUAAUCGGAAUUACUGGGCGUAAAGCGCGCGUAGGUGGCUUGAUAAGCCGGUUGUGAAAGCCCCGGGCUCAACCUGGGAGCGGCAUCCGGAACUGUCAAGCUAGAGUGCAGGAGAGGAAGGUAGAAUUCCCGGUGUAGCGGUGAAAUGCGUAGAGAUCGGGAGGAAUACCAGUGGCGAAGGCGGCCUUCUGGACUGACACUGACACUGAGGUGCGAAAGCGUGGGUAGCAAACAGGAUUAGAUACCCUUGUAGUC
rnacentral:rRNA from 1 species